rnacentral:rRNA from 1 species
CCUCCUUCUUGUAGAACCGUAAUGCCAUUAAUUUGGUGUUGCGGGGAAACAGGACUGUUACUUUGAAAAAAUUAGAGUGUUUAAAGCAGGCUAGCGCCUGAAUACAUUAGCAUGGAAUAAUGAAAUAGGACGUUCGAACCUAUUUUGUUGGUUUCUAGGAUUGACGUAAUGAUUAAUAGGGAUAGUUGGGGGCAUUAGUAUUCAAUUGUCAGAGGUGAAAUUCAUGGAUUUAUUGAAGACUGACUACUGCGAAAGCAUUUGCCAAGGAUGUUUUCAUUAAUCAAGAACGAAAGUUAGGGGAUCGAAAACAUCAGAUACCGUCGUAGUCUUAACCAUAACUAUGCG